rnacentral:rRNA from 1 species
AUUGAACGCUGGCGGCAGGCCUAACACAUGCAAGUCGAACGAGUGGCGGACGGGUGAGUAAUGUCUGGGAAACUGCCUGAUGGAGGGGGAUAACUACUGGAAACGGUAGCUAAUACCGCAUACCAUCGGAUGUGCCCAGAUGGGAUUAGCUAGUAGGUGGGGUAACGGCUCACCUAGGCGACGAUCCCUAGCUGGUCUGAGAGGAUGACCAGCCACACUGGGACUGAGACACGGCCCAGACUCCUACGGGAGGCAGCAGUAGGGAAUAUUGCGCAAUGGGCGAAAGCCUGAUGCAGCCAUGCCGCGUGUAUGAAGAAGGUCUUCGGGUUGUAAAGCACUUUCAGCAGGGAGGCGUUACCUACAGAGGAAGCACCGGCUAACUACGUGCCAGCAGCCGCGGUAAUUC